GCGAACAUUUUGUUUGAUGAUGGCAAUUACAGCAUCGAACAGAUACGUUGAUUUUCCUAUAUAAUUUCCUCUGUGUAUACAAAGUCAUCCAAUAUUUAUAUUUACAAUUGUUUGAGGUAAUGACCAUCAUUAGUCACAACUUCAUCAUACUCCUGAUGAAAAUGUUUUUUGUUUUUAAUGUUUUCACAAAAUGAACUUUUAUCCAUCAAACCAAAACAUCAAAUUUUUCUAUAUUCAAAACAACGUUUUGCCCUUUCUUUCCUGAAUGGCUUCGUGCAAUUAAAGAAAAGCCAUGUACUUCCUUCACUAACGGUAACAGGAAAUGGGGUCAAUAAAAUCGUGGGAUCAUGCACUUCUUUCAAUCAUAAAUAGUUCUCGUGGGUAUAAAAGGCCAAUCAUCUUGUAUCACAUUUAUAAAAAAAAUUAGUCACCAUAAAGAAGAAACGUAAACAUUUUGGCAGAAUUCAGAGAAAAAAAAAGAAUGCGUAAUGCGAUGAAGACGUAUGCUUUGUUGAUCUUCUUGAUAUGCUGUUGUCAAAGCUAUGGUUAUCUACCAGGUUGUGAAAGGGCCUGUUACUCAAACUUCUAUAGUUGUUUUAAUAUUUGCGGUAUUGAGCGUAAUCCUUUCGUCCACUGCGGAGAAUGCGUUGAACAAAAGGGAGUGUGUUUUCAAGAAUGCCAAAAGCUGAAGCAACGGAAAAUUGCAAUAUCAAGCAGAACGCAUCGCUUUAAGAAGUUAUUGAAACUGACAUAAAGUAAAGUGAGUGGAAAUCUUACUUACAUAUUUAUUGCAGUAUUUAUUAAUACAAAAUAUAGAAAAUAUGUAUAUUUGUAUAUUGUUUGUUAAGUUUUGGAAUUAUAUUCAGAGCUAGUAUGUAAUCAAUAAAAAUUUAUUUUUUCGGUGAGUAAUCACAUCGCGUGCUGAAUGUUGAACGCAAGAAAUGAGGAACACAACAGUAAAACUUAGUUAACACUUUACAUUAUUGUAUGGAAAAGAGAGUAAAAACAAAAUUCAAACUAUGUAUUUAAAAUAUAUUUUUACUCGCCGUUUGAGUUAUUCAAAUAUGAAAA